rnacentral:rRNA from 1 species
AACGAACGUUGGCGGCAUGCCUAACACAUGCAAGUCGAACGAGAUCUUCGGGUCUAGUGGCGCACGGGUGCGUAACGCGUGGGAAUCUGCCCUUUGGUUCGGAAUAACAGUUGGAAACGACUGCUAAUACCGGAUGGUGACGAAAGCCCAAAGAUUUAUCGCCAGAGGAUGAGCCCGCGUAGGAUUAGCUAGUUGGUGUGGUAAAGGCGCACCAAGGCGACGAUCCUUAGCUGGUCUGAGGGGAUGAUCAGCCACACUGGGACUGAGACACGGCCCAGACUCCUACGGGAGGCAGCAGUGGGGAAUAUUGGACAAUGGGCGAAAGCCUGAUCCAGCAAUGCCGCGUGAGUGAUGAAGGCCUUAGGGUUGUAAAGCUCUUUUACCCGGGAUGAUAAUGACAGUACCGGGAGAAUAAGCUCCGGCUAACUCCGUGCCAGCCGCCGCCGUAA